UCUCUCUCUGUCUCUCGGAUUUCUCUGUAUCGCCGUCUCUAGGGGCGCCUUUCGCCACCACGCACACGUCGACGGCAUCGCCAGUCCUCUAUCGGAGCUCCCUUCUCCUCCGUGCCUAGCCCAGCCGCCCGAGGCCCUCGUUCUCUCCCUUGCUCUGUUCGCAACCCACGGCCCCGACGACUGGUUUGGGUAUUGCACAUCUCUCUUGUUAUCUGUAUUUCUUUUUUAAUUUCUCUGCAUUUUUUUGAGUAUUUUAGUGGAUCUGUAAGUCGUUCAAGUUGGCAGCUUAGAGGCAAAUGGGACUUUUGAGUUAAUAUUAAUUGAGAUGAAGAUGGCCUCAUUGGAUAUGUUUUUGGAUCUCUCAUGAUGCUUGUUUCGCUUGAUUCUGUCGCCACAUUGUUGUGAAUCUGUACAAGUUAGAUAAAGGACACUGUUUUACAUAUAUGAAGAGGCACAAUAGUACGUGCCUUUGCCUUGUGAAAGGAAUCUACUCCAGUUUAAUGAUGCCAGGCUUGCAGUUGAACCUCGUAACAAAUACAGAAUUCAGACAAAACCUCAUGGCCAUGGUGAUGUGCAUGCACUUCUCUUUUCCAGUGGCCUUCUGAAAAUAUGGCAUGAUGCUGGUUUGAGAUGGGUUCUGUUUUUCCAAGAUACAAAUGGGCUUCUGUUCAAGGCAAUUCCAGCAUCUUUGGGUGUAAGUUCUACCAGACAAUACCAUGUUAACUCUCUUGCUGUGCCACGC